rnacentral:rRNA from 1 species
AUGAACGCUAGCUACAGGCUUAACACAUGCAAGUCGAGGGGCAGCAUGGUCUUAGCUUGCUAAGGCCGAUGGCGACCGGCGCACGGGUGAGUAACACGUAUCCAACCUGCCGUCUACUCUUGGACAGCCUUCUGAAAGGAAGAUUAAUACAAGAUGGCAUCAUGAGUUCACAUGUUCACAUGAUUAAAGGUAUUCCGGUAGACGAUGGGGAUGCGUUCCAUUAGAUAGUAGGCGGGGUAACGGCCCACCUAGUCUUCGAUGGAUAGGGGUUCUGAGAGGAAGGUCCCCCACAUUGGAACUGAGACACGGUCCAAACUCCUACGGGAGGCAGCAGUGAGGAAUAUUGGUCAAUGGGCGAGAGCCUGAACCAGCCAAGUAGCGUGAAGGAUGACUGCCCUAUGGGUUGUAAACUUCUUUUAUAAAGGAAUAAAGUCGGGUAUGCAUACCCGUUUGCAUGUACUUUAUGAAUAAGGAUCGGCUAACUCCGUGCCAGCAGCCGCGGUAAUACGGAGGAUCCGAGCGUUAUCCGGAUUUAUUGGGUUUAAAGGGAGCGUAGAUGGAUGUUUAAGUCAGUUGUGAAAGUUUGCGGCUCAACCGUAAAAUUGCAGUUGAUACUGGAUAUCUUGAGUGCAGUUGAGGCAGGCGGAAUUCGUGGUGUAGCGGUGAAAUGCUUAGAUAUCACGAAGAACUCCGAUUGCGAAGGCAGCCUGCUAAGCUGCAACUGACAUUGAGGCUCGAAAGUGUGGGUAUCAAACAGGAUUAGAUACCCUGGUAGUCCACACGGUAAACGAUGAAUACUCGCUGUUUGCGAUAUACGGCAAGCGGCCAAGCGAAAGCGUUAAGUAUUCCACCUGGGGAGUACGCCGGCAACGGUGAAACUCAAAGGAAUUGACGGGGGCCCGCACAAGCGGUGGAGCAUGUGGUUUAAUUCGAAGCAACGCGAAGAACCUUACCUGGUCUUGACAUCCACGGAAGUUUUCAGAGAUGAGAAUGUGCCUUCGGGAACCGUGAGACAGGUGCUGCAUGGCUGUCGUCAGCUCGUGUUGUGAAAUGUUGGGUUAAGUCCCGCAACGAGCGCAACCCUUGUUGUCAGUUACUAACAGGUCAUGCUGAGGACUCUGACAAGACUGCCAUCGUAAGAUGUGAGGAAGGUGGGGAUGACGUCAAAUCAGCACGGCCCUUACGUCCGGGGCUACACACGUGUUACAAUGGGGGGUACAGAGGGCCGCUACCACGCGAGUGGAUGCCAAUCCCCAAAACCUCUCUCAGUUCGGACUGGAGUCUGCAACCCGACUCCACGAAGCUGGAUUCGCUAGUAAUCGCGCAUCAGCCACGGCGCGGUGAAUACGUUCCCGGGCCUUGUACACACCGCCCGUCAAGCCAUGGGAGCCGGGGGUACCUGAAGUGCGUAACCGCGAGGAGCGCCCUAGGGUAAAACUGGUGACUGGGGCU